UGUCAAGGGAUGGGAAUCGAACCCACGACCUUCCGCUUUACCGGGCAGAUGCCAUGACCACUAGGCUACCCUGGAC